UGGGGAAUUUUGGACAAUGGGGGAAACCCUGAUCCAGCCAUGCCGCGUGCGGGAAGAAGGCCUUCGGGUUGUAAACCGCUUUUGUCCGGGAAGAAAAGGCGCCGUCUAAUAAACGGCGUUCUUGACGGUACCGGAAGAAUAAGCACCGGCUAACUACGUGCCAGCAGCCGCGGUAAUACGUAGGGUGCGAGCGUUAAUCGGAAUUACUGGGCGUAAAGCGUGCGCAGGCGGUCCGUUGUGUCUGCGGUGAAAUCCCCGGGCUUAACCUGGGAAUGGCCGUGGAAACUGGCGGGCUUGAGUGUGGCAGAGGGGGGUGGAAUUCCGCGUGUAGCAGUGAAAUGCGUAGAGAUGCGGAGGAACACCGAUGGCGAAGGCAACCCCCUGGGCUGACACUGACGCUCAGGCACGAAAGCGUGGGGAGCAAACA
rnacentral:rRNA from 1 species